UUCCUAGUCUGGCCUUUGGGUAUCUUGAAAAAUAGUUUGACCCCCUCUUCUCUGGGGCAGCCCCUCAAAUAUUGGAAGACUGCUAAUAGAAUAGAGA